GCCCUUCUCUACGGAAUAGCCUCGGGAAACUGAGAGUAAUACCGUAUACGCCCUUUGGGGGAAAGAUUUAUCGGAGAAGGAUCGGCCCGCGUUAGAUUAGGUAGUUGGUGGGGUAACGGCCUACCAAGCCUACGAUCUAUAGCUGGUUUGAGAGGAUGAUCAGCAACACUGGGACUGAGGCACGGCCCAGACUCCUACGGGAGGCAGCAGUGGGGAAUCUUAGACAAUGGGGGCAACCCUGAUCUAGCCAUGCCGCGUGAGUGAUGAAGGCCCUAGGGUCGUAAGGCUCUUUCGCCUGUGAAGAUAAUGACUGUAGCAGGUAAAGAAACCCCGGCUAACUCCGUGCCAGCAGCCGCGGUAAUACGGAGGGGGUUAGCGUUGUUCGGAAUUACUGGGCGUAAAGCGCGCGUAGGCGGACUAUUAAGUGAGGGGUGAAAUCCCGGGGCUCAACCCCGGAACUGCCUCUCAUACUGGUAGUCUUGAGUUCGAGAGAGGUGAGUGGAAUUCCGAGUGUAGAGGUGAAAUUCGUAGAUAUUCGGAGGAACACCAGUGGCGAAGGCGGCUCACUGGCUCGAUACUGACGCUGAGGUGCGAAAGUGUGGGGAGCAAACAGGAUUAGAUACCCUGGUAGUCCACACCGUAAACGAUGAAUGCCANACGUCGGGCAGUAUACUGUUCGGUGUCACACCUAACGGAUUAAGCAUUCCG
rnacentral:rRNA from 1 species